rnacentral:rRNA from 1 species
CCUACGGGAGGCUGCAGUGGGGAAUAUUGGACAAUGGGCGAAAGCCUGAUCCAGCCAUGCCGCGUGUGUGAAGAAGGUCUUCGGAUUGUAAAGCACUUUAAGCUGGGAGGAAGGGCAGUAAGUUAAUACCUUGCUGUUUUGACGUUACCAGCAGAAUAAGCACCGGCUAACUUCGUGCCAGCAGCCGCGGUAAUACGAAGGGUGCAAGCGUUAAUCGGAAUUACUGGGCGUAAAGCGCGCGUAGGUGGUUCAGCAAGUUGGAUGUGAAAGCCCCGGGCUCAACCUGGGAACUGCAUCCAAAACUACUGGGCUAGAGUAUGGUAGAGGGUGGUGGAAUUUCCUGUGUAGCGGUGAAAUGCGUAGAUAUAGGAAGGAACACCAGUGGCGAAGGCGACCACCUGGACUAAUACUGACACUGAGGUGCGAAAGCGUGGGGAGCAAACAGGAUUAGAUACCCGGGUAGUC